CUACGGGACGCAGCAGUGAGGAAUAUUGCGCAAUGGGGGAAACCCUGACGCAGCGACGCCGCGUGGAUGAUGAAGGUCUUCGGAUCGUAAAAUCCUGUCAGAUGGGAAGAAAUGCUAUAUGUCUAAUAUAUGUAUAGUUUGACGGUACCAUCAAAGGAAGCACCGGCUAACUCCGUGCCAGCAGCCGCGGUAAUACGGAGGGUGCAAGCGUUGUUCGGAAUUACUGGGCGUAAAGCGCGCGUAGGCGGUCUGUUAAGUCAGAUGUGAAAGCCCAUGGCUCAACCAUGGACGUGCAUUUGAUACUGACAGACUUGAGUACUGGAGGGGAUGGUGGAAUUCCCGGUGUAGAGGUGAAAUUCGUAGAUAUCGGGAGGAAUACCGGUGGCGAAGGCGACCAUCUGGCCAGAUACUGACGCUGAGGUGCGAAAGCGUGGGGAGCAAACAGGAUUAGAUACCCUAGUAGUC
rnacentral:rRNA from 1 species